rnacentral:misc_RNA from 1 species
UCCGGUUUGUCACCGGCAGUCUGCUUUGAGUGCUCAGCUUAACCUGGUAGCAACAAAGCACAGGGGUUGCGCUCGUUACGGGACUUAACCCAACAUCUCACGACACGAGCUGACGACAGCCAUGCAGCACCUGUGUUCAGGUUCCCGAAGGCACACCUCCAUCUCUGAAGGCUUCCUGACAUGUCAAGGGUAGGUAAGGUUUUUCGCGUUGCAUCGAAUUAAACCACAUGCUCCACCGCUUGUGCGGGCCCCCGUCAAUUUCUUUGAGUUUUAGCCUUGCGGCCGUACUCCCCAGGCGGAGCACUUAUCGCGUUUGCUUCGCGACAGAGUCGCUUGCGCGACCCCACCGCGAGUGCUCAUCGUUUACAGCGUGGACUAC